rnacentral:tRNA from 1 species
ACCCUCGUGGCUCAGCGGACAGAGCGCCCGUCUCCGAAGUGGGAGGCCGCCGGUUCGAAUCCGGCCGAGGGUA